UCCCCUAUAGCUCAGUUGGUAGAGCGUUCGGCUUUUAGAACCGAAAUGUCCAGGGUUCGAGCCCCUGUGGGGGAG